rnacentral:rRNA from 1 species
CCUACGGGAGGCAGCAGUGAGGAAUAUUGGUCAAUGGGCGAGAGCCUGAACCAGCCAAGUCGCGUGAGGGAAGACGGUCCUAUGGAUUGUAAACCUCUUUUGUCGGGGAGCAAAAAGGCCUCGUGAGGCCACAAGUGAGAGUACCCGAAGAAAAAGCAUCGGCUAAAUCCGUGCCAGCAGCCGCGGUAAUACGGAGGAUGCGAGCGUUAUCCGGAUGUAUUGGGUUAAAAGGGUGCGUAGGCGGACUGGAAAGUCAGCGGGAAAAUCGAGAGGCUCAACCUCUUUCCGCAGUUGAAACUGGCUGUCUUGAGUGGGCGAGAAGUAUGCGGAAUGCGUGGUGUAGCGGUGAAAUGCAUAGAUAUCACGCAGAACUCCGAUUGCGAAGGCAGCAUACCGGCGCCCGACUGACGCUGAGGCACGAAAGCGUGGGUAUCGAACAGGAUUAGAUACCCGAGUAGUC